rnacentral:rRNA from 1 species
AGUGAACGCUGGCGGUAGGCCUAACACAUGCAAGUCGAACGGCAGCACAGUAAGAGCUUGCUCUUACGGGUGGCGAGUGGCGGACGGGUGAGGAAUACAUCGCAAUCUACUUUUUCGUGGGGGAUAAAGUAGGGAAACUUACGCUAAUACCGUCUACGACCUACGGGUGAAAGCAAGGGAUCUUCGGACCUUGCGCGAUCUCAUGAGCCGAUGUCGGCUUAGCGAGGUGGCGGGGUAAAGGCCCACCAAGGCGAAGACGCGUAGCUGGUCUGAGCGGCUGAAGAGCCACUCUGGGACUGAGACGCGGCCCAGACACCGACGGGAGGAAGCAGUGGGGAAGAUUGGACAAUGGGCGCAAGCCUGAACCAGCCAUACCGCGUGGGUGAAGAAGGCCUUCGGGUUGUAAAGCCCUUUUGUUGGGAAAGAAAAGCAGCAGGUUAAUACCCCGCUGUUCUGACGGUACCCAAAGAAUAAGCACCGGCUAACUACGUG